rnacentral:rRNA from 1 species
GUGGGGAAUAUUGGGCAAUGGGCGAAAGCCUGACCCAGCAACGCCGCGUGAAGGAAGAAGGUCUUCGGAUCGUAAACUUCUAUCCUUGGUGAAGAUAAUGACGGUAGCCGAGAAGGAAGCCCCGGCUAACUACGUGCCAGCAGCCGCGGUAAUACGUAGGGGGCAAGCGUUGUCCGGAAUGAUUGGGCGUAAAGGGUGCGUAGGCGGCCUGGUAAGUCUGGAGUGAAAGUCCUGCUUUUAAGGUGGGAAUUGCUUUGGAUACUGUCGGGCUUGAGUGCAGGAGAGGUAAGUGGAAUUCCCGGUGUAGCGGUGAAAUGCGUAGAGAUCGGGAGGAACACCAGUGGCGAAGGCGGCUUACUGGACUGUAACUGACGCUGAGGCGCGAAAGUGUGGGGAGCAAACAGGAUUAGAAACCCCGGUAGUCC